rnacentral:misc_RNA from 1 species
UUCUAAGGCUAGAUUAAUGUGUAUCUAUAUGAGGCAUGUACAAAUCUUUAUUCAUUGUGAAAUAUACUAGAAAAUUCUCUCCAAAACCUCUGGUUUCAUCAGAAUUUUAUUCUACUCCACAGACAGCCUGAAAAAACAAAAGGUGAGACCAAUUUACAUGUGAGGAUGUUACAGACUAAAACAAUCAUGAAACGAUUAUUUAAAGAUAAAGGGCUAAUUACCACAACCAAUAAAAGAAACAAACUAUACCCUUUUUUUCAAUUUAAG